rnacentral:rRNA from 1 species
AUGAGGUAGCAAUACCUUGAUGGCGACCGGCGCACGGGUGCGUAACGCGUAUGUAACCUACCUUUAACAGGGGGAUAACAGUCGGAAACGGCUGCUAAUACCGGAUACGCUCAAAAUGAACUUUUUGGGGAAAGGUGACCUCUGCUUGCAAGUUACCGCAUGAGGAUGAGUCCGCGUCCCAUUAGCUUGUUGGUGGGGUAAUGGCCUACCAAGGCAACGAUGGGUAGCCGAUUUGAGAGGAUGAUCGGCCACAUUGGGACUGAGACACGGCCCAGACUCC